GCUGGGUGUGGGGGCGUGCACCUGUAAUCCCAGCUACUCAGGAGGCUGAGGCAGGAGAAUCACUUGAGCCCAGGAAGCGGAGGUUGCAGUGAGCUGAGAUCAUGCCACUGUACUGCAUCCUGGGCGACAGAGCGAGACUCUGUCUCAA
ensembl:misc_RNA Metazoa_SRP Metazoan signal recognition particle RNA